UACGUAGGGGGCUAGCGUUGUCCGGAAUCAUUGGGCGUAAAGAGCGUGUAGGCGGUCCGGUAAGUCCGCUGUGAAAGUCGGGGGCUCAACCCUCGAAUGCCGGUGGAUACUGUCGGGCUAGAGUGCGGAAGAGGCGAGUGGAAUUCCUGGUGUAGCGGUGAAAUGCGUAGAUAUCAGGAGGAACACCGGCGGUGUAGACGGCUUGCUAGACCAUAACUGACGCUGAGGCACGAAAGCGUGGGUAGCAAACAGG
rnacentral:rRNA from 1 species